rnacentral:rRNA from 1 species
CGCGUAGGUGGCCGAUUAAGUCAGUGGUGAAAGCCUACAGCUCAACUGUAGAGGUGCCAUUGAUACUGGUCGGCUUGAGUAUGGACGAGGUAGGCGGAAUUUGUGGUGUAGCGGUGAAAUGCAUAGAUACCACAAAGAACACCAAUAGCGAAGGCAGCUUACUGGACCAUAACUGACACUGAGGCACGAAAGCGUGGGGAGCGAACAGGAUUAGAUACCCUGGUAGUCC